rnacentral:rRNA from 1 species
UACAGAGGGUGCGAACGUUGCUCGGAAUUAUUGGGCGUAAAGCGCACGUAGGCGGUCUGUUAUGUCGGACGUGAAAUCCCCCGGCUCAACCGGGGAAGUGCAUCCGAAACUGGCAGGCUUGAGUACGAAAGAGGGUCGCGGAAUUCCCGGUGUAGAGGUGAAAUUCGUAGAUAUCGGGAGGAACACCGGUGGCGAAGGCGGCGACCUGGGUCGAUACUGACGCUGAGGUGCGAAAGCGUGGGGAGCAAACAGG